rnacentral:lncRNA from 1 species
CCUAGGGCUAGUGGAAGACUUAAGAUGGCGGCGUUUGCACGGAGUGCAAUCACUGCGUCCUUACGGGGGUUGCAAGGCGUCCGAAGUAUGAGUCCACUAACAAAAGUCCAGAAACUCGCCAGUUAAUAGUAUUGUGUCUCUUCAAAAUAUCGGAGAAUAAUUUCUUUCUCGCUGAUCGCCUAACUUCUACUGACGAAGCUUGGAAGUUGCAGAAGGUUGGAGUGCAAUGGCGCGAUCUCGGCUGACUGCAACCUCCACCUCCUGGAUUCAAGCUAUUCUCCUGCCUCAGCCUGCCGAGUAGCUGGGAUUACAGGCAUGUGCCACCGCACCCAGCUAAUUUUGUAUUUUUUAGUAGAGAUGGGGUUUCUCCAUGUUGGUCAGGCUGGUCUUGAACUCCUGACCUCAGGUGAUCCGCCCACCUCAGCCUCCCAAAGUGCUGGGAUUACAGGCGUGAGCCACCGCGCCCGGCCAGAACAUUAGUUUUAAACUUCCUAACCCUUGGGAGAAGGCAAAACACUUGAUGAAAUCUACAUAAAGACUAAAACAUUUUACCAAUUUUGCAUUGUUUGUUUGAAAUUGCAUUGACGACUGAAAUACAAAAAAAAUUCUAAAACUUGUAUGGAACUACAAAAGACAUUAAAUAAUCAAAGUAAUCUUGAGCAACAAGGACACAGCUGGAGGCAUCACUCUACCUGAUUUUGUAAUCCAUUAUCAAAAAACUGUGGUACCAGCAUAAAAACAGAUUCACUGACCAGUGGAACAGGAAAGCCCAGACAUAACUCAUACAUUUCCAUCCAAUUGAUUUUUGACAAAAGUGGCACACAGAAUGGGGAGAGGACAAAUAAAUAAAUAAAUUGUUUUGAGAUAUCUGUAUAUCUAUAUGUGAAAUUGAACCAUUUUCUCAUAGCAUAUAGAAAAAUCAACUCAAAAUGGAUUAAAGCCUGAAAUGUUGCCUUUGAAACUGUAAAACUACUAGUAGAAAAUAUAGGGGAAAAGCUCUAUGAUGUUGUUCUGGGCAAUGAUUUCUUGGAUACAUCCUUAAAAGCAUGGGCAGCAAAAACAGCCAGACAACUAUCAGGGAACCUGCCCAGAUAGUCACAUAGGUUCUUUUCUAUUUUCCCUAAGCAUUGGCCGGGUUGAGAAAUAAAGGGACAGAGUACAAAAGAGAGAAAUUUUAAAGCUGGGCAUCCUGGGGAGACAUCACAUGUCGGUAGGUUCCGUGAUGCCCCCUGAGCCGUAAAACCAGUAAGUUUUUAUUAGGGAUUUUCAAAGGGGAGGGAGUAUACGAAUAGGAGGUGGGUCACAGAGAUCACGUGCUUCACAAGGUAAUAGAAUAUCACAAGGCAAAUGGAGGCAGGGCGAGAUCACAGGACCACAGGACUGGGUUGAAAUUAAAAUUGCUAAUGAAGUUUCGGGCACCAUCGUCAUUGAUAACAUCUUAUCAGGAGACAGGGUUUGAGAGCAACCUGUCUGACCAAAAUUUAUUAGGUGGGAAUUUCCUCGUCCUAAUAAGCCUGGGAGCGCUAUGGGAGACUGGGGCUUAUUUCAUCCCUACAGUCUCGACCAUAGAAGACAGCUACACCCAAGGGGGCCAUUUUAGAGGCCCACCCUCAGGGGCACAUUCUCUUUCUCAGGGAUGUUCCUUGCUGAGAAAAAGAAUUCGGCGAUAUUUCUCCCAUUUGCUUUUGAAAGAAGAGAAAUAUGGCUCUGUUCCGCCUGGCUCACCGGCGGUCAGAGUUUAAGGUUAUCUCUCUUAUUCCCUGAACAUUGCUGUUAUCCUGUUCUUUUUUCAAGGUGCCUAGAUUUCAUAUUGUUUAAACACACAUGCUCUACAAUUUCUGCACUUAACACAAUUAUCACAGGGUCCUGAGGCGACAUACGUCCUCCUCGGCUUACGAGAUGACAGGAUUAAGAGAUUAAAACAGGCAUAGGAAAUCACAAGGGUAUUGAUUGGGGAAGUGAUAAGUGUCCAUGAAAUCUUCACAAUUUAUGUUUAGAGAUUGCAGUAAAGACAGGCAUAAGAAAUUAUAAAAGUAUUAAUUUGGGGAACUAAUAAAUGUCCAUGAAAUCUUCACGAUCCACGUUCUUCCGCCAUGGCUUCAGCCAGUCCCUCCGUUUGGGGUCCCUGACUUCCCGCAACAGACAACUUGAGUUGCAUCAAACUAAAAAGCAUCUGCACUGCAAAGGGUACAGUUAACAGAAUGAAGACACGGGUUUUGAGAAACCAUUUUCAAAUCAUAUAUCUGAUAAGGGGCUAAUAUCCAAAAUGUAUUAAGAAACCCAAGCCCAAUAGCAAGAAAACAACUGUCUUUAAAAGGGGGAAAAGGACCUCAACUUAAAUUUUUCAGAGGAAGACAUGAGUGGCCAAUUGAUUGAUACAUGAAAAAAAUGCUCAACAUCUCUAAUCAUUAGUGAGUUGCAAAUCAAAACUGCAAGAUAUUACCUUACACCUUUUAGAAUGGCUAUUAUUAAAAGGAUGAAAGACAGGUGCUGGCAAGGAUGUGGAUAAAAGGAAGUCCCAACAUUCUGUUAGUGGGAAUAUAAAUUAGUAUAGCCAAUUUAGGAAACUAUAUGGUGGUUCCUUAAGAAACUAAAAGUACAAUUACUAUAUGAUCUAGCAAUCUCUACUUAGGUAUAUAUCCAAAGGAAUUGAAGCAGUAUGUUGAGAUCUUGCACUCCCUUAUUUUGAAAUUAUUUACAAAGCUAAUAAAUGGAAAAGACUUAAGUUUUCAUAACAGAUGAAUGGACAUAGAAGAUGUGUUGUAUAUACAUAUUGGAAUAUUUUUUAUCCUUGGAAAAGAAGGAAAAUUGUCAUUUGUGACAACAUGGAUGAAUCUGUAGUAUACUAUGCUAAGUGUUGUAAGACAGGCACAGAGAGGCAAAUACUACAUUAUAUUUGUAUGUGGAAUCUAAGAAAGGCUAACUCAUACAAGUAGAAAGUUGGAUGUUAUGGUUUCCAGGAUGUGGGUGUUGGAGAGAUGGGCAAAGGCAAGACGUUGGUCAAAGAGUACCAAUUUUC